rnacentral:rRNA from 1 species
GCGAGAAACCUUUGCAAUGUGCGCAAGCACGACAAGGUUAAUCCGAGUGUUUCCUGCUAAAGGAAUCUUUUGUUAGUUCUAAAACCACUGAUGAAUAAGAGGUGGGCAAGUUCUGGUGUCAGCCGCCGCGGUAAAACCAGCACCUCAAGUGGUCAGGAGGAUUAUUGGGCCUAAAGCAUCCGUAGCCGGUUCUGUAAGUUUUCGGUUAAAUCCACUAGCUUAACUAAUGGGCUGCCGAAAAUACUGCAGAACUAGGGAGUGGGAGAGGUAGACGGUACUCGGUAGGAAGGGGUAAAAUCCUUUGAUCUAUUGAUGACCACCUGUGGCGAAGGCGGUCUACCAGAACACGUUCGACGGUGAGGGAUGAAAGCUGGGGGAGCAAACCGGAUUAGAUACCCAAGUAGUCCCUGAGCGGGCUGGCAAGGCGCAU